GAUGAACGCUGGCGGCGUGCCUAAUACAUGCCAGUCGAGCGAACGGACGAGAAGCUUGCUUCUCUGAUGUUAGCGGCGGACGGGUGAGUAACACGUGGAUAACCUACCUAUAAGACUGGGAUAACUUCGGGAAACCGGAGCUAAUACCGGAUAAUAUUUUGAACCGCAUGGUUCAAAAGUGAAAGACGGUCUUGCUGUCACUUAUAGAUGGAUCCGCGCUGCAUUAGCUAGUUGGUAAGGUAACGGCUUACCAAGGCAACGAUGCAUAGCCGACCUGAGAGGGUGAUCGGCCACACCGGAACUGAGACACGGUCCAGACUCCUACGGGAGGCAGCAGUAGGGAAUCUUCCGCAAUGGGCGAAAGCCUGACGGAGCAACGCCGCGUAAGUGAUGAAGGUCUUCGGAUCGUAAAACUCUGUUAUUAGGGAAGAACAUAUGUGUAAGUAACUGUGCACAUCUUGACGGUACCUAAUCAGAAAGCCACGGCUAACUACGUG
rnacentral:rRNA from 1 species